UACGUAGGUGGCGAGCGUUGUCCGGAUUUACUGGGCGUAAAGGGCGUGCAGGCGGUUUGCUAAGUCUAGGGUGAAAGCUCCCGGCUCAACUGGGAGAGGUCCUUGGAUACUGACAGACUUGAGGGAGGCUGAGGAGAAUGGAAUUCCCGGUGUAGUGGUGAUAUGCGUAGAUAUCGGGAGGAACACCAGUGGCGAAGGCGGUUCUCUGGGCCUUACCUGACGCUGAGACGCGAAAGCGUGGGGAGCGAACCGG
rnacentral:rRNA from 1 species